ACAUAGGUCCCCAGAGAAUUUCAAUAUGUCUGAUGUCAAGAACGGAAAGUGAGACAGCCAGGUGGGAGGGGGUCCCUGGAGAAUCUCCAACCAGCCUGCGCACUGGGAAUGCGCACUGGAGUGAAAAUACAGAAGUUGGUGCCCUUUGCAGCAGCCAGGAGUCCGACUCCUCCUCUUCCUGUGUGGAACCUGGAAUUCAAACGGCUGGGGCCUCACUCACGGCAUAUGGAACUAACCACGCCCCUAACUAAGAAGGCACACCUUAGUUGCAGUUAGCACACAAUUAAAGCAACUCUCCAAGUUUUACCUUAAAGUUCAAAAUUGCUAGGAGUUGAAACUACUAGAAAUAUAUUUACAUGCAAGAGUCAAAGAAACUUUGAACUAUUUAUGGCCUUUAAUAAUUAAGUAAGGUAUACUCCUGUGAUCAAGACUUGGAGCAUAUUUGUUUCUCUCUGCCUGGUUCCUCUAGAAAUUGGAAACUAUCAGAACAGAGACCAACUCCGUUUCCCGAUCCCUUUGCAAUCUGCAUUGAACCAUGAGUCAAGUUCUUGAUAAAGGAGUGAAAAUGGAUGACAUUUAAGGCACAUCUGAAGAUGGGGAAACCACAGCACAGAAUAAGGCUGGGCCCUUGAAUCAAUAAAUGAAGGAGAACUACUCAAGAGAACAAAACCACCAGCAAUAUCCACCUGUAUUUGUCUUUUCAUAAUGUGUGACACAUGUGCUCAUGGAUUAUUGUCCGAAGCAAGACAUGUGACCAAGCCUAACAUCAACUGGGUGAAGAGCUAUAUGUUCCUUUCUCAAGAGGCACUACAAGUGACAUGCCACUGGGCAGGAUUUUUAUUUCAUUUGCAAUGAAUGAAGAAGCACAGCUCUGAAAGACUGAAUUCCCAGCACUGGGUGUCAGCUCUACCAAAUGCGGUACAGAUUGCAAUCUGACCACAGAAUCUCACCACAAAGAAUGCCGGGGUCUCCUCUGAUUAUAGCUACUGGCUAUAAGUUCUAACUAGGGUUUAAUGCAAAUUUUCCCUGUAGUCUGCUUGGGGAGUUGGCCUCAUUCUUGAAUUUUUCUCAGAAAGUUAUUGCCAAAAAUGUGAGUUCUCACCGCAGUGAAAGAGGAAAUCCAGCUAUGAGCAUAUAUAAUACAGGAGAAAGAAUGCAGAGAAAACACAUUCUUUUCUUGCUACUCAGUUGCCAGAGAAGUAUAUCUAUAAUAUUUUCAGUUGUGAUGCUAUGUCCCAUUGAAUUCAACCACACAUUGGAAAAAUCAGUUUACCCUAGAAUCUAGUUAUUGUUGUGGUACAGUUUAAUUUUUGUCAAAUAAUUCUUUCUAAAAUUUCUAAUGUAAGUCUUUAAUUUUCAAGAUAUUUUGCUUAGAAGAUGAUAUGGUUUGGCUGUGUCCCCACCCAAAUCUCACCUUGAAUUCCCAGGUGUUGUAGGGGGCAGGUCUUUCCUGUGCUGUUCUUGUGAAAGUGAGUAAGUCUCAUGAGAUCUGAAGGCUUUGAAAAACAGGAAUCUCCCUGUACAAGCUCUCUCUUUGCCUGCUGCCAUCCAUGUAAGACGUGACUUGCUCCUUCUUGUCUUCUGCCAUAAUUGUGAGUCUUCCCCAGCCAUGUGGAACUGUCUUGGUUGGAGUCCAGGUAUCUGCAAAUUAAAUAAGCACUUGAAGUGAUAGUAUCUGAGUGUCCGUAGGCAAAUGUUAGGAGAACUGAAUCAGAUGUUCUUUGAAAGAUUUUCAUGGUUCUAAAAUGUUCUGAUUUAAAAUCCACAAAGAAAAAAAGCAUUGAAAAUGAAUCAGCAAACUAGAUGUAAUUAAAGCUUCUUGCAAUUCCAUUAAUAAACUUUUUAGAAUGAAUUACA
rnacentral:lncRNA from 1 species